rnacentral:rRNA from 1 species
UUCCGGUUGACCUGCCGGAGGCCAUUGCUAUUGGAGUCCGAUUUAGCCAUGCUAGUUGCACGAGUUCAGACUCGUGGCGUAUAGCUCAGUAACACGUGGCCAAACUACCCUACAGACCGGCAUAACCUCGGGAAACUGAGGCUAAUUCCGGAUACUGCUUUCACGUUGGAAUUGCAGAAAGCACGAAACGCUUCGGUGCUGUAGGAUGUGGCUGCGGCCGAUUAGGUAGACGGUGGGGUAACGGCCCACCGUGCCAGUAAUCGGUACGGGUCGUGAGAGCGAGAGCCCGGAGACGGUAUCUGAGACAAGAUGCCGGGCCCUACGGGGCGCAGUAGGCGCGAAACCUUUACACUGCACGCCAGUGCGAUAGGGGGACUCCAAGUGCGAGGGCAUAUAGUCCUCGCUUUUGUACACCGUAAGGUGGUGUACGAAUAAGAACUGGGCAAGACCGGUGCCAGCCGCCGCGGUAAUACCGGCAGUUCGAGUGAUGGCCGCUCUUAUUGGGCCUAAAGCGUUCGUAGCUGGCCAGUCAAGUCUGUCGGGAAAUCUGCUCGCUCAACGAGCAGUCGUCCGGCGGAAACUGAUUGGCUUGGGACCGGAAGACCCGAAGAGUACGUCCGGGGUAGGAGUGAAAUCCUGUAAUCCUGGACGGACUACCGAUGGCGAAAGCACUUCGGGAGCACGGAUCCGACAGUGAGGAACGAAAGCUGGGGUCUCGAACCGGAUUAGAUACCCGGGUAGUCCCAGCUGUAAACGAUGCCCGCUAGGUACGGCACAGGCUACGAGCCUGUGCUGUGCCGUAGUGAAGACGUAAGCGGGCCGCCUGGGAAGUACGUUCGCAAGAAUGAAACUUAAAGGAAUUGGCGGGGGAGCACUACAACCGGAGGAGCCUGCGGUUUAAUUGGAUUCAACGCCGGG